GCCUAACACAUGCAAGUCGAACGGGACUUAAUGGAAUGCGGCUUCGGCCAAAGGAAGUUAAGUUUAGUGGCGAACGGGUGGGUAACGCGUGAGGAACCUGCCUUUCAGUGGGGGACAACAGUUGGAAACGACUGCUAAUACCGCAUAAUGUGUCUUGGGGGCAUCCCUGAGAUACCAAAGCUUUAUGUGCUGAAAGAUGGCCUCGCGUCUGAUUAGAUAGUUGGUGGGGUAACGGCUCACCAAGUCAACGAUCAGUAGCCGGUCUGAGAGGAUGAACGUCCACAUUGGGACUGAGAUACGGCCCAGACUCCUACGGGAGGCAGCAGUGGGGAAUAUUGGGCAAUGGGGGAAACCCUGACCCAGCAACGCCGCGUGAAGGAAGAAGGCCUUCGGGUUGUAAACCUCUUUUAGUAGGGACGAAGAACGUGACGGUACCUACAGAAAAAGCAACGGCUAACUACGUGCCAGCCGCCGCUGUAAUAC
rnacentral:rRNA from 1 species